rnacentral:rRNA from 1 species
GACAGAGGGUGCGAGCGUUGUUCGGAAUUAUUGGGCGUAAAGCGCGUGUAGGCGGUCUCGCAAGUCCGGUGUGAAAGCCCGGGGCUCAACCCCGGAAGUGCACUGGAUACUACGGGGCUGGAGUCCGGAAGAGGCGAGCGGAAUUCCCGGUGUAGAGGUGAAAUUCGUAGAUAUCAGGAGGAACACCAGUGGCGAAGGCGGCUCUCUGGACAGGUACUGACGCUGAGACGCGAAAGCGUGGGUAGCAAACAGG